rnacentral:rRNA from 1 species
CAGUAACGGCGAGUGAAGCGGCAACAGCUCAAAUUUUAAAGCUGGCGUCUUCGACGCCCGCGUUGUAAUUUGGAGAGGCAUCUUCGGUUUGGGCGCCAGCCUAUGUUCCUUGGAACAGGACGUCACAGAGGGUGAGAAUCCCGUGCUUGGCUGGCUGUCCCUUGCCAUGUGAAGUGCCUUCGACGAGUCGAGUUGUUUGGGAAUGCAGCUCAAAAUGGGUGGUAAAUUCCAUCUAAAGCUAAAUAUUGGCGGGAGACCGAUAGCGCACAAGUAGAGUGAUCGAAAGAUGAAAAGCACUUUGAAAAUAGAGUUAAAAAGUACGUGAAAUUGUUGAAAGGGAAGCGCUUGAGACCAGACUCGGCCGGAGAUGAUCAGCCGUCCUUCUGGGCGGUGCACUUGUCUCCGGUCGGGCCAGCAUCGGUUGAGACGGCGGGAUAAAGGCCCGGGGAAUGUGGCUCCUUUCGGGGAGUGUUAUAGCCCCGGACGCAAUGCCGCCAGCCUCGACCGAGGACCGCGCUUUUUGCUAGGAUGCUGGCGUAAUGGUCUUCAGCGACCCGUCUUGAAACACGGACCAAGGAGUCUAACAUCUAUGCGAGUGUUUGGGUGUCAAACCCUUGCGCGUAAUGAAAGUGAACGGAGGUGGGAACCCCCUCGCGGGGCGCACCAUCGACCGGUCCUGAUGUCUUCGGAUGGAUCUGAGUAGGAGCAUAGCUGUUGGGACCCGAAAGAUGGUGAACUAUGCCUGAAUAGGGUGAAGCCAGAGGAAACUCUGGUGGAGGCUCGCAGCGGUUCUGACGUGCAAAUCGAUCGUCAAAUUUGGGUAUAGGGGCGAAAG